AUAAGCCAAUUUGCCAUAAAUCAUUUAAAUAUUUUCUUUACGAUUUGAGUGUAAAAUUACAGUAGGUAGUAAAUUCUACGAAAGAAUUAACGCUAAUUUCUACAUAAUAACAGUUAUAUACAAUAGCAGGUGGAUUUAGUUUAGCAGAUAGUGCGGAGCUUAGGUUUGCCUAUCAUCCAUUGUUCUCAACUAAGGAAGGUAAUUUGUUAAGCCUAAUUUCGUUGGUACGUGGAUACCCCAAGUAGUGCAGGAAACACUGAAUUCUUUGAAGCGCACUAAUAAACGGAAGCUAUCAAAUCUCAGUAUUUUCUUGUCCACUGCCAACAGAAGGGGUGGGCACCAUUAGGUUUGCCGGAAAAUUUUACAUAAGGUCAGUUAUAUUUGAUCAAUUGCCAGGCAGUUUCUGAAUUUCGUUCGUUUUAGGCUAGGUUUUCCCGUAGUGCUAAUAAAGCCAUUUUCAAAAUUACUUCGAAGUUUCGAAUAAUUUCAGAAGUGAAAU